AUACAUUUAAAAAUUUUCUUUCCAGAGCCACACAUCAGGCAGUGAAGCAUGGGCUGCUGGUUAAAGCACUAAUCUUGGCUGCGGAGCGGAAAUCAAUGCCAAUGACAAAUGGCCAGUAGUUGACAGUUUAAAAUCUAGCAAAUGAAAGCAAAUGAAGUUAACGAAGUUGUUUUACAGUACUGUGCAUCUACAGAAGAAGCAGUUCUAAACUAUCUUCUUCAAGAGCAUACAAGGCUUUCCUUUUGCUUCAGAGAAAAGAGUUGUCAUAAAAAUCAGUCCUAUAUGUCCAUGGAUGCCUCAUGGUGGAAUUCAUUUAUGAGGACAAAAGUCCUGCAUACAAAGAGCAUGAAUAGCUGUAACUACAGAACUAUGGACCAUGAAUAGCUGUAACUCCUGGAAUUUCAUCAGUGUAAGGAAAAAGCUGUGCAGCUGGUGAUGUCACAGUGCUAGAAGAUAGAGAACUUCACCCAGUUUCAGCAAAGUUACUCAUGUGGCCGGCACUAUCCUGAACAAAGAUGAAGUUCUGGUCUCCUGAAAACAAGACUUACUGUGUCUAGAGAGACAAUGUGGUGGCUACUGCAUCGGUUUGUCUGUGGACACAUGUUAAUUUUCAGUAUUACAGCUGAACUGAACAGAGUGUGAGGACAGCUGUGGACUAAAGAUAUAUGAGGGCUGCUCUGAAAGUAAUGCCUCCUAUCUUAUUACACUAGCCCAAGACAUCAGAGGCAGACGUUGGUGGGAUGGCAUUAGAGGCUGAACCUGCACAUCAGUAUUCUGUUACAUUGUGUUGUCGUGUGACAGGUGGCAGCAGAGGGGCAGCCUGACACAAUGGCAUCUGCCAUGGAAGUGUGUAUGAAGCAAAGGUGUGUCAGUGCGUUCUGCCAUGCAGAAAAGAGGGCACCCAGUGACAAUCAUUGUCAUUCUUGUUCGUCACUGGUGAAAAUACGCAGCUACUGGUGGUGACUAUGUUGGAAAAUAGUGUUUUGUGGCUGAGAAUUUGCUCUAUCAAUUAGUGUUACUGUGAUCUUUGUAUCUAUUCUGGUUUCCAUGGAAAUAAACAUGAAGCAUUACUUUUGGAGCA
rnacentral:lncRNA from 1 species